rnacentral:tRNA from 1 species
GCCCCCGUGAUGAAACUGGUAUACAUGUUGGUCUAGAAAACCAGUUCGCUUCCAGGCGAUUGUGGGUUCGAAUCCCACCGGGGGCA